rnacentral:sRNA from 1 species
AAAAGAGGCUGCAGAUUCUUGGUGGACAGCUCUCAUAUCCCCUCCAGGGAAAAUGAUGAAAAAUGUCUUCAGAAAAAUAGCUUUAUGAAGGCAAGAGGACUUUUUGCACCUGCAAGACAUGUCUGAAAGCUCCACAGGUCAAAACACAAGUAGUCAAGAGAUUUGUCCAUCUAAUUCAUCAUACUACUCUGAUCCAAGUGAGACCCACACUGGGUCAGCUCCAUCAAGGAGAAGAACAUUCCACCCACGUUUGGAUUCUGGAAUAUCAUCCUUGCUUCCAUCAGAUUCUUGUAAGUACCUCACUUGGCACAAGAUAGAACAACAUGGCGUUCAAGAAAGUCAACUGCGUUGCCCAAGAGUAAGAGAAGGUAAAAGAAUAAAUGUGUGCCUUUUUCGUGUACAUCCUGUGAGUAGAAUUUUUUGUGGAUUAAAAGACAUUACUUGAAGAAAAAAAAAAAGACAUCAUUUGGAGGACCCUCUGAAGAAGAGCAACUUUUCAGACAGGUAGAGUGUGCCUUGCUCCCAAGGAAAAGAGUUCUUGAAAAAAACAAAUGGGAAACAUGGCUACAAGAAAACUGGGAAGACUGCAAGAAUUUGAACAUUUCAUUUCAGGAUUUGGGGGAUCCUUACCAGGUUGAAAAUUUUAACAGAAUUCUUAGAAGACUAAUUCGAGUUGAAACCCCCUGGUUAGUGGAUAAUUCACUGGUGGACUUAAGUGCCAUAAGAUUGCCAAGAGUAUUCUCCUGUUUGCCAAACUUAAAAAUGCUGGAUGGAAUCUUGAAGCUACCAGAAGAUUGCUUAUCACCAGAAACCAAUAUUUUUUCAAAAAUAUGCCUUGUAUCCUAAUGCAGUCUGUAUAGAAAGAAAGCAAUCAUCAUUUUUGCUAAAAGCUAAUAAACACAGGACAUGCAUGAUUAAAUAUUGCAGUUUAUUUUAUAUCUUUUUGCUUUUCUAAAUCAAGGCAAAAACAUGCUAACUGACAAGAAAAUCAUGGGUUUUAAACAAGGAUAACAAGUGCUGGGUUGCUUAGCUAUGAGGAAGGCUAGGCUCACUGCAUACCAGAAGAUGUACAGCGUUGGAGAAUGCAGGGAUUUUUAUCAACUAUCAAACUAUAUUUGUGGAAAUUUUGUGCAUAAGUGCCAAAGAUGGCUGACAUCGGACCACAUUCUAUUUAACUCAACUGAAUGACACCAAGCUCUCAUCCUAAAACUUAUAGUUACAUCCACCCUUCUGAAAUAUUUAAUUAUUCUCCAAUACACUGGAGGUAAUAGGUAUAAAAAGAAUGCGCAUGUGCAACUUAGCAUCUCAUAUCUAAUUUUGUGUCCCAAGUUCAUUAUUCCCCUGAAUGUCCCAUGUCUACCAGGUGCAGGAUUAUCUGGAUGGGUCAGUUCAAAACAAUUUCAGGGAAUAAAUUGUGUAGGGGACUCAAUUUUCUGAGACAGAAACAUAAUGUGAAUAACUCCUUUGUUAGAAAAUAAUUUCAGUGACAGAAAGCCUUUCAGUUCAUAAAGAAAACUUACAUAUCAACAAGCCUAGCUCCUCACUAGUCCCAGUGAAUGCUUACAUCAAUCAGCUCUACAAUAUCCAGUAAAGGACUUUCCAAUUCGCCUUCGAAUAAACUGAGGUAUUGGAAACAUCU